rnacentral:lncRNA from 1 species
CUUUCUACUUACCUACAGUCCUUGCAAUAAAUUGCAUAUAUUAAUCGGACUUCUGAUAUCCAAUAACCUGAUAGUAGUAUCACAAAUAAAGAAAUUACAAGGGUUAUCAUAUAAUUACCUUGUGAAGCAACUAUUUGCUUCUUUUUCUUAUUCUUAGGCUUGUUUGGAUCAAGGUUGGCUAGGUAAGCAGGAUAAUUUUUUUUCUAAUGAUCCAGCUUCUUGCAAAAGAAGCAUUCCGUCU